rnacentral:rRNA from 1 species
GGGUUGUGAGGUUAAGCGACUAAGCGUACACGGUGGAUGCCCUGGCAGUCAGAGGCGAUGAAGGACGUGCUAAUCUGCGAUAAGCGUCGGUAAGGUGAUAUGAACCGUUAUAACCGGCGAUUUCCGAAUGGGGAAACCCAGUGUGAUUCGUCACACUAUCAUUAACUGAAUCCAUAGGUUAAUGAGGCGAACCGGGGGAACUGAAACAUCUAAGUACCCCGAGGAAAAGAAAUCAACCGAGAUUCCCCCAGUAGCGGCGAGCGAACGGGGAGCAGCCCAGAGCCUGAAUCAGUGUGUGUGUUAGUGGAAGCGUCUGGAAAGGCGUGCGAUACAGGGUGACAGCCCCGUACACAAAAAUGCACAUACUGUGAGCUCGAUGAGUAGGGCGGGACACGUGGUAUCCUGUCUGAAUAUGGGGGGACCAUCCUCCAAGGCUAAAUACUCCUGACUGACCGAUAGUGAACCAGUACCGUGA